AAUGAGUUAGCAGAAUAGAAAGAUAUAUGUCUGUUUAGACUGGAAAUCGCUCACUUUGGAAGCUGUGGCGUGGCGAGGAUGUAGAGAUGGAGAAAUUCACAGCAAGAGUGGAGUCUGCACUGCUUGUGAGCCUGUGGGGAGGGAAGCAAAGACCUUUAAAUGAAAGUAAGAGGCUAGAAGCAUCCAAAGUAACCACUGUCUGCAGAAAUGGGAGAGAAAGCCUGGAGACCUCACUUCUCUAAGAGCUGUAGAUGAAGAAUGGCAUACAUCCGCUCACAGCUCAGAGACCAGAAGCAGCCACACGGCCUCAGCAGUGAAGAAAGCUAGGAAGUGCUUAGACUCCUGCGAGUGUUAGGGACCAUGAAAUGUUUCAGGUCUUUCUCUUGGCGAUUUUUUUUUUUUAAGGUGGUGAGCCAAAAUAUAAAAUUAUGAGUUUAAAACUCUUGGCUGAGGGGAAGGUGGGUGUUAAGACUUUCUGGAAGAAGUGUUAGCUCCUCCAUUUUCUAGCUACGUAUAUCUAGUGAGUCUUCCUGGUUUUAUUGUCCCUGGCCUCCUUCCUACAGAACGGCGGUAAUGAUUCUUUCUAUCUUUGGAACUUGUUCAAAAGCUAGGUAUGGUACUGGUUUUGUUGUAAAUUCUUAUGGAGCGUAAUAGCAGAAACUGUGUUAUUCUCUUUUGAUCACUUUAUAAAGUGGGAAUGAGGUAAACACGGGAAUUAUUCUGAAUUUAACAUCUUGGUCCUGAGUGUCUUGGUGCUUAGUAAAAUUCUUUGUAUGGAAGAAAGGGUACUGGGGUUUGGGCAGCAGAAAAGAACGGGAAGUCAUCACUGCAGCUGCCGCUGCCAAUCGUGUUUCUAAGAAGGGCGGGGGCCAGCUUCUUUCUAUAAAGACGUGACCUUGUUGACACCGCACAGCUUUAUUCACCACUUACCAAGGGAAAAUAUCUUCACGUAGUGGCCAAAUCUGCCCACAAAUGUGGGGAGUAUAGUCAGCACUUAAUCCUUAAUAUCAGCCUCAGUGGGCGCAGAAAAAAAGAAAAAGAAAAAGAAAAAAAUACAGGACUUAAAAAAAAUGUCUUUUCCUUUUCAGUUAAAUAAAAAGUCUGGGAAAGCUAGAGAGAUCACCCAGAUGUGAAGAGCACUAGCUGCUCUUGGUUGUGGGUUUAGUUCCUAACUCCUGCAAACUGGCCUACACCCAUCUGUGGCUCCAGCCUCAAGGAGCCCAAACACUCCCUUUUGGCUUCCUUAGGUACCAGACACACAAAGAAUGCACAGGCAUACAUGUAGGCAAACACUCAAACACAUCAAAUAAAAAUGAACAGAUUUUUUUUAAAACAUUGAGAGAAGACUCACAUAAGACGAACUAACCAUUUUAAAGUACAUAAUUCAGCUGCUUUAAAUAUAGUCAAAUUUUAUGUAAAUAUCAUCUUAAUCUUCUCUCAAAACAUUUCAAAGUCUAAAACGAAGCCCUGUGUCCAUCACAUAGUCCUUCUUCAUUCUGCCUCCCAAAUCUCCCAAAAGCAAAACUUUUAUAAGUGAACCUAUGAACUUAUCUAUUCUGUAUAUUUAAUAAACAGUA